UACGUAGGGGGCAAGCGUUAUCCGGAUUUACUGGGUGUAAAGGGAGCGUAGACGGCGAUGCAAGUCUGAAGUGAAAGGCGGGGGCCCAACCCCCGGACUGCUUUGGAAACUGUAUAGCUGGAGUGCAGGAGAGGUAAGUGGAAUUCCUAGUGUAGCGGUGAAAUGCGUAGAGAUAUGGAGGAACACCAGUGGCGAAGGCGGCUUCCUGGUCUGCAACUGACACUGAGGCGCGAAAGCGUGGGGAGCAAACAGG
rnacentral:rRNA from 1 species